GAUAACGUUACGCGGGUUUUUUGCAAUUGUAAACAUAUCUAUCAUAUCAAGUACUCGCUUCAUUAAACUGUGUUGCGGGUUGUAGUAAAUUGUUAGACGCUAAAAUUUUAAAACGGAAUUAAAUUAAGAGUUAUACGUUAUAUUGACUUUGGAUCUACAAUUAAACAUAAAGAAAUAGCGAUGGGAAUUUAGAUAAAACACCGGAUAAAUAGUAAUUGGAUAUUCGGAACUAGUACAAGCAGAACAAGGGCACAUACGCCUUCAUCACGAAACUUCUUUGUCUGCCGUACUUGCCUUCGGAGCACAUCGUCCCCGUGUUCGAGACAUUGGUCGGCCUAGCCAUGUCGCUAUUUGAGUAUGUGCGUCGAACUUGGAUCGAGGUGGAUGUGUGGCCCGUGCACAGUUGGUCUGUAUACGGACGCUUUUUCCGCACAAACAACGAUGUCGAAGGAAGUUUGCCACCAAAUUCCUGUCCUUCCUCCUCAUGCCAUUGCUUCCGCCGGGUGACGUCAAGAUCAAUAUUUUCUAUGGGAUGCUGCGACGUCGGUUUUUCCUCGUCGGUAGCCAUCUUACUGAUAUUGCGUCCAAC